GAACAGAUCCUCCACCUGCUGGCGCUCGCUGU
rnacentral:scRNA from 1 species